AACGAACGCUGGCGGCAGGCUUAACACAUGCAAGUCGAGCGCCCCGCAAGGGGAGCGGCAGACGGGUGAGUAACGCGUGGGAAUCUACCCAUCUCUACGGAAUAACGCAUGGAAACGUGUGCUAAUACCGUAUACGUCCUUCGGGAGAAAGAUUUAUCGGAGAUGGAUGAGCCCGCGUUGGAUUAGCUAGUUGGUGGGGUAAAGGCCUACCAAGGUGACGAUCCAUAGCUGGUCUGAGAGGAUGAUCAGCCACACUGGGACUGAGACACGGCCCAGACUCCUACGGGAGGCAGCAGUGGGGAAUAUUGGACAAUGGGCGCAAGCCUGGUCCAGCCAUGCCGCGUGAGUGAUGAAGGCCCUAGGGUUGUAAAGCUCUUUCACCGGUGAAGAUAAUGACGGUAACCGGAGAAGAAGCCCCGGCUAACUUCGUGCCAGCAGCCGCAGUAACAC
rnacentral:rRNA from 1 species